CCUACGGGAGGCAGCAGUGAGGAAUUUUCCGCAAUGGGCGAAAGCCUGACGGAGCAAUACCGCGUGAGGGAUGAAGGAUUUUGGUCUGUAAACCUCUUUUCUCAAGAAAGAAGUUCUGACGGUACUUGAGGAAUAAGCAUCGGCUAACUCCGUGCCAGCAGCCGCGGUAAUACGGGGGAUGCAAGCGUUAUCCGGAAUGAUUGGGCGUAAAGCGCCUGUAGGUUGUUUAUUAAGUCCGUUGUUAAAGCCUAGGGCUUAACCCUAGAAAAGCAAUGGAAACUAGUAGACUAGAGUAUGGCAGGGGUAGAGGGAAUUUCUAGUGUAGCGGUGAAAUGCGUAGAUAUUAGAAAGAACACCGGUGGCGAAAGCGCUCUAACUGGACCAUUACUGACACUCAGAGGCGAAAGCUAGGGUAGCAAAAGGGAUUAGAUACCCCUGUAGUCCUAGCCGUAAACGAUGGAUACUAGAUGUUGUGCAUUAUGUACAGUAUCGUAGCUAACGCGUUAAGUAUCCCGCCUGGGAGUACGCUCGCAAGGUGAACUUAAGGAAUUGACGGCUGAGANGCGAGACGACGACGAGGAGAG
rnacentral:rRNA from 1 species